rnacentral:rRNA from 1 species
CGGUCACGUUCGUUGCAUUAAAAGUACUCAAAUAAGUUAUAUGCCGAAUUCAAACUAGUGAACUCAAAGCAUAAGUUUAAAUGGUACGUAUUUCCUGAAACGCAAUUAAGCAGACAGAUCACUCCACGAACUAAAAACGGCCAUGCACCACCUAUCACAUAAUCAUGAAAGGACUAUCAUAUUUGCCUUUACAAUACUUUAAAAAAGUAAAUGUAAAUUAUCACCUGUCAAUCCUUAGUGUGUUCGGACCUGGUAAGGUAUCGCGCGUUGGGUCAAAUUAAGCCACACGCUCCAC